CGCAUCUGUGCAUGCAGCAUAUCAAUAAGCGGAGGAAAAGAAACUAACAAGGAUUCCCCUAGUAACGGCGAGUGAAGCGGGAAGAGCUCAAAUUUGAAAUCUUAAAGGGUUUCCCUUUACGAAUCGUAGUUUAAAGAAGUGUUUUCUGUUGAGGUUUUGGUAAAAGUUCUUUGGAAUAGGACAUCAUAGAGGGUGAGAAUCCCGUAUUUGACCUUUACUUUCAACUUUGUGAUACACUUUCAAAGAGUCGGAUUGUUUGGGAAUGCAGUCCAAAAUGGGUGGUAAAUUUCAUCUAAAGCUAAAUAUUGGCGAGAGACCGAUAGCGAACAAGUACCGUGAGGGAAAGAUGAAAAGAACUUUGAAAAGAGAGUUAAACAGUACGUGAAAUUGUCAAAAGGGAAGCGUUUGACACCAGUGUUGUUUUUCUGAAAAUCAAUUAAAGAACUGUUUAUGCUAAGUUGUUUAGACUUUAUCAGCUAUCUGUUUAGUUUUGAGCUUUUCUUUAAUGCACUUUUCAGUUAACAAGUCAACAUCAAUUUCUUUUGCUGUAAAAAGCUUGAGGAAGGUGGCUUGAGAUUCGUCUUAAGUGUUUAUAGCCUCUUGCCUAUGCAGUCGGAGAGAUUGAGGUCUGCAGCGUAGAUCCUUCGGGGCUAAAUGCAUUUGUGCUAAGUUAUAGCAUUUUAUAGACAACUUGUUGACUAUGAUUUGUCUUGUAGCUUACUCGCUUAUGUUAUUUUACCUACGCUUAGGAUGUUGAGCGCAUGUCUCUCUCU
rnacentral:rRNA from 1 species